GGGGCCCAAUGAAAGGAAUUGAAAUUCAGAGUGCUUGCACAAAGAAUGGAUUUUCUUGGAUUUGGAUUUUCCCCUUAGUGGCAAACGGGUGAGUAACACGUGGGUUACCUACCUCUAAGAUGGGGAUAACAGUUGGAAACGACUGAUAAUACCGAAUGUGCUCUACGGAGUAAAGAAGCCCUUAAAGCUUCGCUUAGAGAUGGGCCUGCGGCGUAUUAGCUAGUUGGUGGGGUAAUGGCCUACCAAGGCGACGAUGCGUAGCCGAACUGAGAGGUUGAUCGGCCACACUGGGACUGAGACACGGCCCAGACUCCUACGGGAGACAGCAGUUAGGAAUAUUCGUCAAUGGAGGAAACUCUGAACGAGCAAUGCCGCGUGAACGAUGACGGCCCUAUGGGUUGUAAAGUUCUGUUGUUUGGAAAGAACGAUAGAUAGAGGAAAUGCUAUCUAUGUGACGGUACCAUUCAAGAAAGCCACGGCUAACUACGUGCCAGCAGCCGCGGUAAUACGUAGGUGGCGAGCGUUAUCCGGAUUUAUUGGGCGUAAAGGGUGCGCAGACGGUUUAUUAAGUCUAAAAUCAAAUCUUGGGGCUCAACCCCAUUCCGUUUUAGAAACUGGUAGACUUGAGUAUGGUAGAGGCAAAUGGAAUUCCUAGUGUAGCGGUGGAAUGCGUAGAUAUUAGGAGGAACACCAGUGGCGAAGGCGAUUUGCUGGGCCAUUACUGGCGUUCAGGCACGAAAGCGUGGGGAGCAAAUAGGAUUAGAUACCCUAGUAGUCCACGCCGUAAACGAUGAGUACUAAGUGUCGGGUUACCGGUGCUGAAGUUAACACAUUAAGUACUCCACCUGAGUAGUACGGUCGCAAGGCUGCAACUCAAAUGAAUUGACGG
rnacentral:rRNA from 1 species